rnacentral:lncRNA from 1 species
GCAUAAAUUCAAAAAGGAUGUUUUGGGUUCAUUAACAUUGCAUCCCCUCUUCUGGGAGUCUUUCGUUUCCAUCUUGAAGAUUCUUACAAAAAUUUGCUGUUUAUGUCUCUCUGAAACCUUACUCGUUACGAAAAAGGAUAAAGCAGUUAUGUAUUGCCCUUGUCUUGUAUUUUAUUAUUAAUUUUUUCAAUGUUUCCUAAACUGAUCAAACAACGAUUUAUGACUCUGCAGUUUGUUCCAUAUAUUUACAGUCAGUCAAUCUUCGAGAAUUUUCUGUAGAAUAAACUGUGAAACCUAAAUGGGAGGAAAACAGACUAAAUAUAGCAAUUGUAAACACAGCGAUUCAUUAAGUUAUGGAUCGCCAUAUUGCCCUUUGCCUCAACAUUUAUCUCCUGGAAAUUCCAUGAACUCGAAUGGAACUAAGUUUCUCUCAAGAUAUAGGAGAAUUGAUGACAACUACAGCUCUCUUGACCAGGUACUAUCUCUACCGCAUCUCUUUGCUUUUGGCUGGUGAUGUGUGUAUAUAUAUAUAUAUAUAUAUAUAUAUCAAAGCUUCUAAUUCUGUUUGUGGAUGAAAAUUUAGACAGUAUCUCACUAAGAUUUAAUUUACAAUAAGUUUUAAACUGGUUCGAGUUUAAGUUGCCUUAGAAACUUUCUGGUUAGACUUGAAAUUGAUAUUUUAUUUCAUAUCAUGCCUGAUUGCAACUUCUUGAUUUCAAUGUGUUCAGCAAAAACUCAGACUUUGUGUGAGAAUAUGGUUCUCUUAACUCCAUUAGAUUUAAGUGUUAUUUGUGUCAUUCACAUGGAUUGUACUUGUCUAGUUUUAUUGUGGAACAAUUGAUAGGAUUGACGGUUGGGAUUUAUUCUAUGUGAGAUAUUUUUUGUUGCUUUAGCUUGUGUGAGAAGCUUUGACUAUUUUUCAUCAAAUAGGGCUUUCUCACGUUUUUGACAAAAAUAAGUCUUUCUCUUUUAAAAUUCAG